UACGUAGGGAGCAAGCGUUGUCCGGAUUUAUUGGGCGUAAAGAGCUCGUAGGCGGUUCCGUAAGUCAGGUGUGAAAAAUCUGGGCUCAACCCAGUGGAGCACCUGAUACUGCGGUGACUCGAGUCCGGUAGGGGAGUGUGGAAUUCCUGGUGUAGCGGUGGAAAUGACGCAGAUAUCAGGAGGAACACCGAUGGCGAAGGCAGGUCUCUGGGCCACUACUGACGCUGAGAAGCGAAAGCAUGGGGAGCGAACAGG
rnacentral:rRNA from 1 species